UGGGGAAUCGUCUAACGGCAGGACAGCGGACUCUGACUCCGCCAAUCUAGGUUCGAAUCCUAGUUCCCCAGCCA
rnacentral:tRNA from 1 species